UAGAGCUCAGUUCCUGCCUUUACAGCUGGGUAAAGAACAACCCUGCCAGGGCUGUGACUGUGAGAAAGACCAACACUUGCCGUCAGACCUUAUUAGACACUAGAGAAUCUGCAUGGACCUGACAUUUGGUUGAUGCCCAAACCGUGGGAAAAGCUCCAGUCACCAUUUGUGCCCUCUCAGGCACCCAAGUUGGUCCCUCGAGAGACUCCAGCCUGCUGAAAGCCAGACUCAAAACUGAGGUGCCUCCUGGAGCUGAAAGACUUGAGGAGAGUGACUACAAACCCGUGGAUAAACUACAGGAGCCGAGAUUGAUUUUCACCAAGCCAUGUGAACCAAAUCUGUCAAGUUUCACACGAAGGGCAGCCCGAGGAAACGCUGUGGGUCAGGAGCAACAGAUGUGUUUGGUCCCCACAGCACUAACAAGCCUUUGACUGCAGCUAUGCCACUCAGAUCCUUGGGUUCAUUGCAUUGACAAUGUUCUUAAUACCCAAAGAGAUUGGGUAAAUUGGUUUGACUCUAACAGGCAUGCCAACAAGAAACAGCGAAUAACAAGUUCUGAGCAGAGGGAUAUGGUGGAGUGUAAGCAAUCUGCCUUUGCCUCCGCUGGGUUCUCCUUAGGUUGAUUUGUAUCUUGAUGAACAUGACUAGCAGGAAAGCAAAUUGAUUUAAUUUACAUAUUAAUAGAAAAGAAGAGAAUUUAGGGUAUUUGGAGGGUU